AGGUAACUACUUCAAGGGAUCAUUUCUCUAGUCCUUUGCUAGACAAGUCUCUCUUGUGUAGAACCCCAUAAACCACUAAAAGAAGGUGUUCUCUCCUGAACCUGAAGCCGGCUCUUGGUGUUUCUUAACUGAAACUGAAGGUUGAAGAUCUUUCUUCUCUUCCUAUGGGGAGUAAGAGAGAGAGAGAGGAUGAGUGGU
rnacentral:snoRNA from 1 species